rnacentral:lncRNA from 1 species
AUGAUGUCCCACAGGUGUUUGUCAACCUGUUCCGGCUCUUCCCAACUCUGGCAGUGGCUAUGGCCUAACAGCUGGUGGCAGGAACAGGGCUGUGACAAGAAUCAGCAACUGCAUGGGGCCUCAUCAAUUUCCAGAAGAGGACAGGACAUGCUCAAGAUGCCCCAAAGAGAAAGGACAAAGGAGAGGAAUUCUGAGAUGCAAGUCCCUAUGGAGGAGGGGACAGAGUUAAAUUCCAACAGUCCAACAGACUACGGCUAGAGUAACAGUCUUCUCUUACCUGUACCUUUAACGCUCAGCUUGCCAUUUGUUCCUUAGUAUCUGCUGUUAGUGACGUUCCUUUCAGAAACAAGAAAACAAACGUCUUUUCCUGCUGAAGUUUUUGACUUACUUCUUUCUCUCCUUUGCACCAUCAAGUAUUUGAGCAGUGGAUACCCUUGCCUCCAUUUCCUCACCCACUAUGCCCUCCUCUCCUGCUGCAAACUGGCUUCCCCACAUCACUCUUCUGAAAUUCUGCUCCCCAAACAUACUCAUUCCAGUGAAAUUGUCUUCCCCAGAAUUACUUUGGUGUCUGACAGGACUGGGUGAAGGGGUAAAAAAACUAUUAAGAUUGGCUGGGUGCAGUGGUUCACACCUGUAAUCCCAGCAGUUUAGGAGGCCGAGACAGGUGGAUCACCUGAGGUCAGAAGUUCGAGACCAGCCUGGUCAACAUGGUGAAACCCCAUCUCUACUAAAAAUACAAAAAUUAGCCAGGUGUGGUGCGCACCUGUAAUCACAGCUACUCAGGAGGCUGAGGCAGGAGAAUCGCUUGGAACCAGGGAGGCGGAGGUUGCA